rfam:Dictyocaulus viviparus strain HannoverDv2000 D_viviparus-1.0_Cont428.9, whole genome shotgun sequence.
CCAACGGCCCUCUUUAGGGCCACAAUUGAUAUUUAUCGGAUACUGU